GAAUAUUGUCGGGUAGGGCGGGGCAUAAUCUCACGCACAGUCGCACACUUGUUUAGAGACAAUUCCUUCCCGCUGCUCCGUGUUCGAAUUCGAAAGCUAGUUCAAGUUCAAAAUAGACAGCAUGGACGAGGAACAGAGCGCCUCUAGUGCUUCAGAUAGAGGCCUAAGCGCUUCAGAUGUAAGUUACGUUACUUCUCUAAAGUACUUGUGGUAGGCACACAGGCUAUUUUCAGUUUAACACCUGCACUGAGCGGCUCAAAGCCCAAAUAGUUUUUUAGUCGCAAUGUUUCAUGGCUAGCCUAUAAUGUGACAGGAGCAUUAUCGAAUUAUAUAUAUAGAUAGAUAAUAAUAUUACCUAAUCGAAUAUAUAUAUAUUUUUUUGUUACAUGUUAAGCCUAAUGGAAUUUCGACCGAUUAAUGUUAUCUUUGUUGGCGUUCGUUACUGAUGCCUGUUUAAUGUUUUGUAUGGUUGAUUAUGCAGGCUUACCAAUAAAUAUGUUACCAAGUAUUGGUAAGGAAUUUUGUGAGCACGCAUUUUUUUUCCCCAGGGCCAAGACCUUUCGUCAGAAAGUGCGGGCGGGAGCGGGACAUUAUAUCACAGAUGCGGGCGGGA